GUCCCUGUAGCGUAAUGGGUAUUGGGUUGGACUUCUAAUCCAAAGGCCGUGGGCUCGAAUCUCACCUGGGAUG